rnacentral:rRNA from 1 species
UGCAAGUCGACGCGAAAUCACCUUCGGGUGAAAGUAGAGUGGCGGACGGGUGAGUAACGCGUGGGAAUCUGCCUAGUAGUGGGGGAUAACUCGGGGAAACUCGAGCUAAUACCGCAUACGCCCUACGGGGGAAAGGCUUCGGCCGCUAUUGGAUGAGCCCGCGUCAGAUUAGCUUGUUGGUAGGGUAAAGGCCUACCAAGGCAACGAUCUGUAGCUGGUCUGAGAGGACGAACAGCCACCCUGGGGCCUGAGAAACGGCCCAGACUCCUACGGGAGGCAGCAGUGGGGGAUAUUGGACAAUGGGGCGAAAGCCUGAUCCAGCAAUGCCGCGUGUGUGAAGAAAGCCUGCGGGUUGUAAAGCACUUUCAGUUGGGAAGAUGAUGACGUUACCACAGAGGAAGCACCGGCUAACUCCGUGCCAGCAGCCGCGUAAUACG